AGUCCUUUUAUUAGGUUGUCUUGAAUUUAUGUUUUUUUGGCCCAUUUCCCGUUUGCAAGCAAAUGCUUCAAAGCUCAACUCCACGCCUCAUAAAGUUAGUACAUUUAUGUUGAUCAAUGUCCGACCACCAAUUCACAGGGAGGUAACCUCCUUCCUUAUAUUUUAGUGUUAAUUCAAGUGUGUUGGACAUUCUUCAUUUAGAACCAUGCUCGAUGGGGUCUAUUUUCUCUCUCUUGGGAAAUGUGUAGCUUUUAUGAUUCCCUUCCAAUUCCCCACUUCCGAUAGUGCUCUCGGGCGGUAACAUUACUCCGACAAUCUAUUUCCUAACAUGUUUUUCGUACUCUUUUCUUUGUCCAACACUCUUUUACGUAAUCCUCAUUCUUUUACUUGUUAAUACUUAUCCAUUUUGUCUGUGAUGCUAUUAAUCUGACUCUAUACAAUUUCUUGGUUCUGGACUAAUCACCAGUCACUGAGUAACUUAAGCCUACAUUACGGUGACGAGAAAGGCGGAUGUGGUGAGUUAAUAAGAAAGUAUGGAGAGACGUUGUCAAAGGUGCGCUUAAAGCGCGCUUAAGCCCUGAAGCGAGGCUCAAACCAUGUUGAGCGCUUCGCCUCGCUUUAUGUGCGCUUCAGUGUCAUCAUCAAGGCUCUAAGACAUACUUUUCCUUGCCAAUGAGCCUCCCUUGAAGGGGUGACACUAGAUAAUUCAUAUUUCACUUUAUCGUAAUAUUUUUACAAUUCUUUUGUCCAUAUAUUUGUUAUUCAUGCUUAUUAUUAUUAUUAGUCUUGGACUAAACAUAUAUAGAUUUGUAUUUUGCACCAUUGCACCUUUUUUCAUUAAAGCCCACGCUUUAUUUGCGCUUUGCGCUUAAAGCCCCAGCUAACCUUAGAGCUUUUUUGCGCUUUUCGCUUUUGAUAA